rnacentral:rRNA from 1 species
AGUUAACGCUAGCGGCGUGCUUAAGGCAUGCAAGUCGAACGAGAAAGCAGACUUCGGUCUGUGAUUAUAGUGGCGCACGGGUGAGGAGUACUUAGGUAACUUACCCUCUCGCUGGGGAUAACUGGUGGAAACGCCAGCUAAUACCGAAUAGUCUUGUUUUAUCUCCGGAUUUAACAAGUAAAGCUCCGGCGCGGGAGGAGAGGCCUCAGUCCCAUUAGCUUGUUGGUAAGGUAAAAGCUUACCAAGGCAACGAUGGGUAGCUGGUCUGAGAGGAUGUACAGCCACACUGGAACUGAAACACGGUCCAGACUCCUACGGGAGGCAGCAGCUAGGAAUAUUGCGCAAUGGAGGAAACUCUGACGCAGCAACGCCGCGUGAGUGAUGAAAGCCUUAGGGUUGUAAAGCUCUUUUAGUUGGGAAGAAAAAAAUGACGGUACCAACAGAAAAAGCACCGGCAAACUUCG